GGCUGGGCUGUGCUGGGCUUCAGCUCCAUCCCAGAAUGGGGUCAAACCACAGCACAGCUGGGCCUGCAUGGCCUGGAGUGUGAAACCCCUCCUGUAUGUAUAUAUUUUUCUAAAAAUCCACGGAGCUGGUUUAUCAUUUAACUGUACUCUGUAAUCAGCAAAUGUAGGUGUUUGUCUUAGAAGUGAAUUGCUGUUUUCAGCUCUGAUGAAGAUCUGACUAUUUUGGUUAUUUUUUAGAUGACAGCAUUUAAGUGUUGAUGGAUCAUCUCCAAUGAGAAUUCUUCUCUUCAGGGAAGCCAGUGAAGUGAUCUGUUCUUUGACGUUGUGUUGCUUUAGACUACAUUGUCACCUGCUUCUUCAGGAACCUCGCUAAAGAAGACAAUAAGACCCUCACAGGUAGCGACAUUUCACAGGAUGGACAGAGAUCAUUCCACUUCAUGCAGCAGAACCCAGAAGUUCUACAGCAGGUCACUCAGAACAUGCUGGAGAGAUGUGACCAAAGCUCGGCUCUGCAAGGGGACCUCCAAUCCCAAGGGCGUGGAUAUGAUUUGGCAAGGACUUUGGGAACAGAGCACUGAUGGAUAAACCAUCUCAGAAAGUGCUGGGACCUUGUUAUAUUGUUUGAGAAAAAGUUUAACCUUGUGAAAGCUAUUUUAAAAGAUAUUUUCUAUAUUUUUAUAUCUCUAGCCUAAAUGUGAGAAUUUAUAAUUGUGAAAACAAUGGAAAAUCAGCCUUAGUUUGAAGAAUGUUUUCAGCUUUCCUUAUCAAAAUUUAUAAUCCUGUUUUCGCUUUAUGAAACAGGGUAGAAACAGUGUAUAACCAAAGAACAAAAGGAUAUGCAUUCCUUCUGAAUUGGUGUCAGUUAAUGAUUCUCAGUUCUGUACACAAUAGUAAUAAUAUGUCAUCAUUCAAACCUGCAGGCUCACUCUUGAGAACAUAUUUGUUUGAAAAUGAGAUGAAAGCCAGUACAAACUUUAUAUUACAUCUUUUUUAACUAAUAAAAUUAUUAUUUUGCUACA
rnacentral:lncRNA from 1 species